rnacentral:rRNA from 1 species
GCAGUAGCCACGGGAAUACGUAGGGUGCAAGCGUUAAUCGGAAUUACUGGGCGUAAAGCGUGCGCAGGCGGUUAUACAAGUCAGAUGUGAAAUCCCCGGGCUCAACCUGGGAACUGCAUUUGAGACUGUAUGGCUAGAGUGUGUCAGAGGGGGGUAGAACUCCACGUGUAGCAGUGAAAUGCGUAGAUAUGUGGAGGAAUACCGAUGGCGAAGGCAGCCCCCUGGGAUAACACUGACGCUCAUGCACGAAAGCGUGGGGAGCAAACAGGAUUAGAUACCCCCGUAGUCCCUGUCUCUUAUAC